CUCAACCGAGGAAUUGCGCUUCAAACCGCCAUGCUUGAGGGAGGCAGAGGUGAGUGGAACUGAUGGUGGAGCGGUGGAAUGCGUUGAUAUCAUCAGGAACACCAGUGGCGAAGGCGACUCACUGGGCCUCUUCUGACGCUGAGGAACGAAAGCUAGGGGAGCGAACGGGAUAGAUACCCCGGUAGUCCUAGCCGUAAACGAUGGGCACUAGGUAGUGGUCUGGCCUGUACGGAUUACUGCCGCAGCAAAUGUGUUAAGUGCCCCGCCUGGGGAGUACGCUCGCAAGGGUAAAACUCAAAGGAAUUGACGGGGGAUCACACAAGCGGUGGAGCGUGUGGUUUAAUUCGAAGCAACGCGAAGAACCUUACCUGGCCUUGACAUGCACGGAUUAGCUCUGUGAAAGCAGGGUGACGGCCCUUCGGGGUUGGAACG
rnacentral:rRNA from 1 species